rnacentral:lncRNA from 1 species
GCAGAGUUAGACAGAUGUUUGAGCUCAGCUCGAGGCAGUCGCACACAUCUGGAAACGUUGCAUCACAGCCGAAUGUCCCGGAUAAAGGGAACGGAGAGCCUGUUGUGUUGGUGGAGGAAGAAAAACUGGAUGCUUCAUGAUGAUGAUCGUUGCUGUAUUUGGUUCGUGAGCGGAGGACGCAGAGAAAAAGACGCAAACCACCGUGUUCUAUUUGACCAGCGUUUCGAAGAGAGUCAGAAAUCAUGUGACGGAAUCUGAGAUCAUCCAUUUGAUACAAGCUUGCAUGUAGCCAGAGGUGUCAACGUUAUGCUGAGUUUCAGAAAGGAAGUGGACAAUAAAGACUGCCUACAAAGUGAUGGAAAGACAGAGUAAGACACAGUGGGCACAUUAUUUGCUUGAAUAUGCUCACAUUAUGCAAGCUGAGCAUUCGUAAGCCAUUUUUUUUAAUGCUUCUGAUGUGUUAAUUUCAGCAAGCAUUGCAAAGUGC